rnacentral:rRNA from 1 species
AUUGAACGCUGGCGGCAGGCUUAACACAUGCAAGUCGAGCGAGCGGCGGACGGGUGAGUAAUGUCUGGGACACCGCCCGAUGGAGGGGGAUAACCACUGGAAACGGUAGCAUAUACCGCAUACCAUCAGAUCUGCCCAGAUGGGAUUAGCUAGCAGGUGGGGUAAUGGCUCACCUAGGCGACGAUCCCUAGCUGGUGUGAGAGGAGCACCAGCCACACUGGAACUAGGACACGGUCCAGACUCCUACGGGAGGAAGCAGUGGGGAAUAUUGCACAAGGGGCGCAAGCCAGAUGCAGCCAUACCGAGUGUGUGAAGAAGGCCUUCGGGUUGUAGAGCACUUUCAGCGAGGAGGCGUUACUCGCAGAAGAGGCACCGGCUAACUCCGUGCCAGCCGCCGCGGUAAUAC